CCCUGGGGUCAGUGGCUCUGCCCUUAGGAGCUGCUUUGUCUCAGUCCAGGGGAAUGGGCAGGACUGUGGCAGCACCCUCUGUCCCAGUGCCCAGCUCUUCCCCAUCCUGUUCCCUCCGGUACAGCCACUGGGAAAAGGCAAAAGGCUUCUUCUCCCUCCAGUCCCCCCGAGGCUGCGCGGAUGGCGAAGGGCGCACCAGACAGGGCUGUGUCUGCUGGGAGACGAUGGACAAGGUGACGGGAGACUUUGGGGGCCUGGAUUCACUGGGGAGGUUUAAUUUUUGUUCCUCUGACAACGACUGCUGCGGCGACGCUCCCCCUCCUGCCAUCGUGUGUGCUCUCUUCUUUUCCUCCUCACCCUUAAAAUCAGUAAAAGCAGAGAGAAUUGUAUUAUUCCCAGCGUCUUUUGAUGGGGGGGUCUGUGUGUGGCCCCUUCUCCCUGCGCAAAAUGGAUGGGGAGCAUUUCCCUCCUCCCAGCGUCUCGUUUGCAAGAGGCACAGCUGCGUUGGGAGUUUAUUAUUUUGAAUUUAUUUGUGAUUUUGUGUUUAUGGACAUGAGUUUGGAAUCGGGGCAAUCGCGUUCUCCCCUUCCCUCUGCAAAGCAGGGGUGGGAGGUGGCGAGUUGUAGCCGUGCCAGGGCACAGCUCCUCUUUGACUUGGAAAAGCAUUAAAGGCAUAAGGAACUGCAGACCCUGUUGGCCCCAGCCAGGUGGUUUGGUUUCUGUGUUAUCCCAGAGUAAAGGGAUGCGGGCAGCUUUGUGCAUCAGAAGCAACCAGAAGCAGCUGGUUUGCUGUUCCAGAAAGGUGGGUUUGCUCGUGGUGGGUUCUGUCCCACCGAGGCAGCAGUUGUCCUUCUCAUCUCUCAGGAGGAGAAGUUGCAGCACAAGGCAUAACUUGCCAGGGACAGGGUUUGAAUUAAACCCGGGAUUUUCUCAAUCCUGAGGCGAUGGUUCCUGCCCGUUGCAUUGCUUCACCUUCCCCUCUGGGUGCUCUCUGUAUUCCCCCUCUGCCCCAGCUGCCCCCGGGAGGGCGAUGCUCAGGAUGGCACAAGCGACAGGGGAAGGAGCGCGCUGUGAGCUGCAGGAUGCUCUCUCCCAGCGCCCUGCCUGCGCUCCCAUCUGCGCAGCAAACGCGUCCAGCUUUUGACUGCGCUUGUGGCGCUGGGAUCUGGACAGGGAGGAUUCUCUGGCGGUUUUGGGGAGGGGAGGAAGGCGGGUGACAGAUCUGCGGUGCCUGUCUGUCGUCUCCUGGUUUGCUGGAAGCCCGGAGCGGGUUGGAAAUGCCACCUCCAACAGAUACCGCAGGAGUUAUGUGGGGCCGAAUCGCUUUUAUUCUCACUGUUGAGUGACCUUCUCGGUGGCGAUGGCACUCGCUGUCCGGGAGCGGUGGCACUGGGGCACGGGAAGGCGAGGCAACUCCUUCGUGGGAACACAGAGGGUGAGGAGUCCAGCGCGCCUGGUUCCCCCUGCCAACCUGCGCCGAAGGGAGCAAAAAGGUGAUGAAUCCCUAAAAAAAAAGCUUUCUGGUAGCCAGGGCUGUUAAGCUUCAGAAUAUUCAUGCAAGAGUGGUGCUGGAAGAGCCCUGGGGCCUCCUAAAACCAGAAGGAACACAGUGUUGGGGAGGAUAUACAGCAGCACUAACGCUGCCCUGGCCCCAGCGGUGUGCUGGGUACCUUUAAUGGGCUGCAUGUCACUAACUACUAUGAUUUCAAUAAAAGAUCUUCAUAAAAUUUCCAAAUGCCUCUGCCAUCACCUGCUUUCAAUCACUCCAGGUGCUGCAUCUCCUGCGGAGCGUUUUCAGAGCUGCCUGUGCCAUCGCACCUCUUCUCACGCUGGGUCUGGGGGCUGAGACGCUUCUGGGAGCAGCUCGGUGGCUCUGGUUCGGCUCCUCGCGGCUCAGGAAGGCUGCGCUGAGCUCAAGGUUACUCGGCUACAGCGGUGAGAUCUCAGCUCAGCUCCACCAAGCCACGGCUCAGCGUUCCGACUCCUGCCUCCUCCCCAGGAGCUGCUGAAGCAAAGGGAUGCUCACACUCCGGGCUCCACUGCUGUCCUGGGGAAAGUUCUCCCAAACCCCUCAUCCGAAUCCAGCUGCCAGACAGGAGGUUUGGAGCCACCGGCCCCGUCUCCAGCGGUGCUCAGCCCUUCUCCAGGUCCGGCUGAACCUUCCCAGCCAGACACCUGCAGAGAGUGGGGGGUUCCUGAAGAGCUGAGGGGCACAGGCAAUGGUUUGAGACCCUGCGAGAACCGUUGGUGUUUGGAUCCGGCCUGAAGCUGUGUCUGGAGACUGGCCGGGCAUCCCGAGGGAUGCUUGGAGGCCCCAGCGCUGGGUGGUCCGUGCCCCAAGCUGGGGCUGUCGGUGGGGUGACCGCAGCAUCGGUGGCCGGGAGCGCUGCCAGGACCUUCUCUGUUCCUUAAUUAGCAGCACUACCCACACAUUUGGGCAUCCCUCGCGUUGGGAGAAGGAUACCGUUUGUUCCUCCUGCUUAUUCUUCCUUUUGAAGUCGUAAUCCUCCCGCUCUGACAUCGCAGCCGUUGCCGCCGCAGCGAAUGGCGAUGCCACGCGGGCAGCUGGGAGCAGCUCGUGGGCAGGAGCCCCGCACCUCCCCGGGGCAGCCGAGGCUCAUCCAGCUGUUCCAAUGACGGGAGAGCCAUGAAUGUGACACACGGGGACCGAAUCGAUUGGGCUCAGCACCUGCUCGCUGCGAGAGACCGGGCGGCUCUGGAAGCAGCAGCUCCUCUUCCGCUCCGUGGUGAGCUCUGGCCCAGGGCUACUUUCCCCGUGGGAAUCGAAACAAGAGGAAAACAGCGCCUGUGAGCUGCUUUCUCCCUGCAGGUUGAGCUCCAUUUCACGGGGUCUGUUUGGGUAGCUUUGCAAAGACAACCAGAAGGUGUUAAGUGCUUGUAAUCCGUGCAUAAACACAGCCCCGCUGGUGUGCGCUCACUGCCUUGUUUAACGCUCUCUGAAGUGCUUUCGGAACUCUUCCGCUCCCUGCAAGUGUUUGGGACGACCGGAGUGCCAAAUCUCUUUAACGUCAUUAGAUUUUUCCAGGAUGUGAUGUGAAAGAUCCCACCCUGGUGCAGGUUGUGGCUGUCUUCUUCUUUGUUAAUAACUGAUCGCUCAUUCAGCUGCUCUCAGUUGUCUUUUAUCCCCUUUUAUUCCCUGUUAGAAUAAACUUUGUGCAUUCAAGUGCCCGAGUGGGAGCAGCCGGUGGGUUCCCACAGCCCAGCCACCACUUUCCUUGCACAGGGAUCCUUAUCGGAAGCUGCUAAACAUCAAACAUAAUAACAGAGGAAAACAAAGCCCAGAGGGCAAUGAGGGAAGGGAUGGGGGGGAUGCUGUGCCGGGAGAAUAUAGAUUUCUUUCUUGUGUUUUCUAGGGAUCUCCAGUUGCUCCUUCGUUGCAAAUGAUCCCACAGGGACUCUCGUUUUUCCGGGGGCUGCCAUCACUAUGUGGGAUCCACAGUUGCUUCUGGUUGUUGUGUCUCUCCAGAGGACCAAGGCGAAAGGGCAUGUCCCGCACACGCGUGCGAGCGUGGCUCGGUGGCCUCACGCCCCCGCGGCCGGGCCUGCAGCUCCCCCUUUGCCAGCUUUGUCCUCAGCUGUUGUGCUGUUUUCUUGUUUAUCGAUGGAAGCAGAGGUCUGGGUUGCUUCCUUUCAUCUUUCUUAUUGCUCUGCUCCCCGCCGGAGGCAGGCAGAUUUAUUGCUGAUCCUGGGUUCUGGUUUUGCCUCCCGACAUCUGUGUUAACUCUUCCGUCGGCCGUGGGGAGCGGGGUGCCUGGCCCCACGCCGGGGCUGCGGAGCCGAACGCUCCUGGGCUGAGCGCGGCGGUGCUCAGCGUUUCGCCGUGUCGCAGCGCUGGGAUGUCCGUGUCACGGGAUGGGAGCGCUGGGCUCCUCCUCCGAGGAAGUACAGCACGCACGUGUGGUGCUUUACCCCUCAGACUUUUCCACCUUGUUGUCCCAUCCAUCCCAUCACCGUAUUCAUCUGCCACCCGCAGGCUGGGGCCACUGCCAGGGAGAAAGGAGAGAUUCGUGUUCACAAGCCAUGGCCACUGCGAUGGGAGCGGGGAUGGAUGGAGCAGAUCAGCUCCGCUUUGCUCUCCAGAAGCUGCUGGAACUGAACACCAACGCACCGUCUCCUCUGGGAGCUCUUGGUUAGAUCUGACGCUGUUUCUUGUGCAGGCACGAAGGUGUUUCUGUGGGUUUGGGAAAUGAGUCUGUGUGCUAACAGAGCCAGAGCUUCCAAAUAGAAACUCGGGGCUGCUCCCUGGUGAUGGUGUUUUAUUGGUUUCCAUGACUUAAACUCUUUACUGGGAACACCGGGGCAUCUUUAAAGAUCCCCACGAGCUCUGCCGGGGUAAUGCACUCAGUUUUACUGGGUUUCUCCCACUGCUGCAGUGCAGGGGGGACAGCUUUCUCUCUGCCCUGCUCGUAGGUGACUAGUGUGAUAAUUGGGUCUAAAUUGAUUCAAACCAUUUCCUGUAAGUCUCUAGGGAAUAAAUUUCCCGGAUCAAUGGAUGCCACUAGCAGUGGCUGGAAAUCCUGCUGCCCUCAGCAGGGCUCAAGGAGUGUUUUAUUCAAUCUGCAAUGCCUCCCGCUUGUCCCAGUUAGUCCCAGGUUGGGCGAGGAUCCCUGUUUGUCCUGGAUGCUGAUGCUCUGGGAAUGGAUCCCCAUGAUCUAACGAGGGGGAUUAAACCGACCUCUGCGUACCCAGUGGGGACAGACGCUGCUGCAGCCUCUCCACCCCCAUCACACGGUGACUGAGGGUGAGAAAGGGCUGGGGUUUGGUUAGACACAAGCAGUGCCGUGCUCUCGGCACGCCAGGAGCUUGUUCAUCCUGCUCCUGUCUCUUCAGCUGGAGGUAAAGAUCCAGCAAUAUCUCCUUUAUGCAAAACAUCCGAUGAGCCCAGAUGCGGUUCUGAGUGCAAUGAAGCACUUUUUCUACCUUUGUGGUAGUUCCACAUGUCCUAUCCUGCACCCUUAACACUUCCCAAACAUCCUGUCUCUCUCUUUUGCCUUUGCUCGCUGCUUUUUGGUGCCCUCCUGCAGAUGAGUUUGGGGACUUUGCUCCCCUCGACCAUGGAACUGGGGUCUGAUGGGCUGCACACUGGCACUGAGGUUUCUCAGAAGGGUUUUCUGCCACUGCCAAGGUCCUAGUUUGGAUCCCUCAGAACCCAGAGGUGCUUUUGGCUGCAACCAACCUCCCAGGGCUCCCAAGCACAUCCCUGCCGCUCCGGUCCUGUGCCCGGCUGUCGGGAAACACAAGCCUUUUUUGAAUGAAUGAGGUCAGGGAGAGGAUCUGGGGAAACAGCCCUCCUGGAAAGCAAAUGAAUCCCGUUGCGUUCCCUGCUUUCAGACCCUGCCCCGCUUGCUUCAAAGCUGUUCCCUCCAGAGCCCAGACACACAGCUGGAGAUUUAUCAGCUCGUGGAUACAUCUCUCUCCUGUUAUGUGUCUUCCAGGGGCUAUUUUACAAUGAUUUCUUGCCUUCACCUUCUCACCAGCUCUGCGGAUGGUGUUUACUAAGUGUAUUUUAAUGUGUUCACCUUUCACCUCCUGACGAGACACGUAUUGAUCCAGCAUAGAUCCCUGGGAAAGGCUGAGAAGGGGACUGCAGCCACCCUGGGCUGGGAAGGGGGUGGUGGCAGCUGGGGACGAGCCCAUGGCAGGGCUCAGCGUGGAGAAGAUGACGGUUCCUGCACCCUGUCCGUGCUGGAAAUGGGCCCACGAGCCC